rnacentral:SRP_RNA from 1 species
GCCGGGCAUGAUGGCUGGUGCCUGUAAUCCUACUUACUUGGGAGGCUGAGGUGGGAGAAUCACUUGAACCCAGGAGGUGGAGGUUGCAGUGAGCCAAGAUUGUGCCACUGCACUCCUGCCUGGGCAACAGAGUGAGACCCCAUCUCAA